rnacentral:rRNA from 1 species
CACGAACCGGGCAAACGUUAUUCGGAAUUACUGGGCUUAAAGGGUGCGUAGGCUGCGCUAUAAGUCGGGUGUGAAAUCCCUCAGCUCAACUGAGGAACUGCGCCCGAUACUGCAGUGCUUGAGGAGGAUAGAGGUGAGCGGAACUAGCAGUGGAGCGGUGAAAUGCGUAGAUAUCCGGAGGAACACCGGUGGCGAAGGCGGCUUCCUGGACCGACACUGACGCUGAGGCGCGAAAGCUAGGGGAGCAAACGGG